rnacentral:lncRNA from 1 species
UUUUGGUAGAAGCCUAUAUUCUUAUCCAUCCUGAUUCAGAGUGAACUUGAGUGGGCUUAUCCAUGGACCCAAUUAAGGGCCCAACUCUCAUUCUUUUGGAAGGGGGGGUCACGCUUGCAGUGACUCAUUUUGUUCCUUUCUAUUUUCUCUCGUCUUGAAUGUGCACGGCAGAAGGAAGUUCUUUCCUUUCUCUUCUCCUUUUCCGCGAGCAGUGGCGAGGCGAUGAUGGAGCGAUGGUGUUACGAGUUCGUGACGACUAAGUGAGGACGCUGGCCGUUCGGAUCGCAGCGCAAGUUCCUUCCCCUCCACCUUUCUCUGUUUUUCGUUUGGGCUUAGGGAUUUUUCCUAUUUUCGUAUAAGGACGCAGGUCGGGUGUGAACGGUGGUGCGUGGACGAGCAAAGGUGGCGGUGACGCGUGGGGAAGAAGGUUGACACUGUAGCGGAGUGAACCGUGUUCCGUUUCAUCAUUUUAGGGUUCCUGAUCUGGUUCUAGAAUUGGAAAUUUGGGGGUUUUGAUUCUGUGAGUUAGGGUUUUGAUUGUUCUUCAAUUUUAGGGGUUUCUAUUGUGUGGAAUUGCUGAUUUGAUUCCUUCUACAAUUUGAGACUUAGGGUUCCAGUCAAAUUGAAUUGGGGAUUUCUGGGAUUUGAUUCAUCUGUUUUCUUUGCAGAUCAAUCGCUAUAAUUUAGGAUUUCUGCGAUUGCAAAUUGUCCUUGCGAUUUGAUAAUUGAAAUUAGGGUUCUUGAACUUAAAAUUGGGAAAUUACAAUCUGCUCUUGCAAUUGGGGGUUAGGUUUUCAAAUGGGGAUUUUCGUUUCUGUUUUUGCGUUUCUGAUCUUAAAAGUUUUGAAUUCUUCGAAUCUGUUCUGUUGCAUCGUUGGGGUUUUGAUCCUGUUUUGAAUUUUCACGAUUGGAGAUUGCGAAUUUUUGUUAUGGGGUUGGUAUUGAUUGUGCGUUUUGGGAUCUAAGGUUCCCUAGUUGCUGCUGUUGGAAACACGAGUAGCGCCAGUGAAGGUUCUGGUUCUGGUGCGGACUGCCAUGGAAUCGCGGUGGUCGUCGUUGGCAAUUCUCUUCUGACCGAGGAACCCCUGGAAUUUUGGUUGGGCUUGGGUUGGACUGAUGGGCUUAUAGAACCCCUUUAUUAUGAAGUUUGGAAUGUUUAAUAAUAAGACAAAGAGAGAUGAGAAUAAUACGUUUAGGUUCGAAAAUUAAUUAAAAAGGAAGUUUGGUAAUACGAAUUAAUAAAAUUAAUCAAAAAGGGAAUUGGAAACUUAAAAUUUAUUAACAGCAUAACUAGAAAUAAAAGUUAGUGAGUUUGAUAAAGGAAAUAAUAUAACCUUAUUAAAUAGUCAAAUUAAUUAAGAUUAUAUUCAGGUAUCAGGAAUUAAUUUAUUCCAAAAAGAGAAGUAAUGAGACUUUAAUAAUGAAUUAAGGUAAUAAAUAAUUUAUUAAUUUGGAUUGACAUGGAAUGAUAUUUAUUUAUUGAUUUGGAAUAAUAUUCAUUUUAAUUAUUUAUUAGGAAUUAUAUUUAAUUAUUUAUUUAUUUAUUUAUUUGGGAUGAUAUUUAUUUAAUUAUUUAUUUGGAAUGAUGUCUAUUUAUUCAUUAUUUAUUUAUUUAAUUGUAAUUUAUUGUUGGAGUGAAACUCUGAAGAGUUUAGUCUAAGUACAUUAUAUUUUUGAAUAAGACGGUAGACAAUGAUGAAUGACCAGUAUUAGGUGGAGAGUGAGAAUGUUUGUUGUACUUAGAUAUAUACGUUGGAAUGAGUAAGUGUUGAGGUGUACCUGAAGAUGUAGUUGAUGAGCACAAGAGUGAAAGAUAGGUCCACUUUUUGUACCUAGUAAAGCCUGAGACUAUCGAUCGUCGAGAUAGCAACUUCCUUUGGCCUUGUGUGCGAAAAGGAAGUGCUCGGGUAUUGAGCCCUCCUUGUGUGGGGGUGAUGGUGUUUGCCUUGUCGUUGUGUGGCAGGAAACAUGUUCCUUAGCCAGGUAGGCGGGACUACUCGAGCAGACCUGUAGGAGGGGCUACAGGGGACUUGUGGGGAGGCCACAAGUUUGAGGUAGGGUACAGGAGUGUGACUGAUUCUUUUCACUAUGGAGUUAUGGUAUUGUGGAGGCUCACGGCGUGAUUCAUGAUGAAUGAUUCUUGAUGAGGUUAGUUGUGAUGGAGGUACGUGUAAUGUUGAUUCAUGAUGACGAUGUGAUGGGAAUUGAUGACGUGGAGGUUAUAGUCACAUUAUAGUUAACGAGGAUGUUGAGUAUGUUCAUGAUAUAGAAACAAUUAUGUGAGUAUGGGUAACAUUGUAUAUGAAUGGUACUAUUAUUAAGUUGUGAUUUCUUAUCUUGUACAUAUCCUUAUUGAUGUUGGUUGUGUUUAUAGUAGCUUACCCAUAUUUGUUUGUGUUUGUGGUUGUGUGUGUGUCUUGCGAUGAUCGUAUGACCUUGGUUAUACGGGAGCAGGGGGUGUAGCAGAUACUCCAGAUGCAUGAUAGCGACGUGAGAGUGGGGGACAACCUUGAUUUAUUUACAGCUUUGAGUUAUGAAUUUCAGAAAUAAUGUAAUUGGAUUAAUUUUUAUUUCUUGGUUAUCUUAUUAUUUUUGGAAUAUUGUAAGUGGAUUAUAUUUUUAUUUUUUGGUGAAGUUAGAACUUUAAUUGAAUUCCGCAAGAUUUGAAUGUCAAAAUUUUUAAUUGGCACUAUUUUUCGUGUUAAGAGGAUUUUGAAACAUUUUACUUUAAUUAUAAUUCGUGACAUCCUAAAUUGGGGUGUUACACAAAGGAAUCCUAAGCAACCAAGAACUAGAUCCCUAGGUAACUUUCUUCUCCACUUCUUCAAUGUGUUAUACUUUUUUCACUCCUAUAGAGACUAUUUUAAUUUUUUUUUAUAAUUUGUUCACAGUUGGUCAGCAAAUAAACUGUUUGAAGUGAGACAUGUCUCUUAAAGUGGAGAAAAAUUUGUUGUAAACAUAGAUGAAUAAGAAUGCUCCUGCAGGAGAUGGAGCAUCACAGGAAUACCAUGUUGUCACUCC